GUGUUUGCCAGCGGUAGAACUUCGGACUACUUGCUUUUGGGAAAUGCCGUAUAUACGUUUGUGGUCAUAACUGUGUGCUUAAAAGCUGGAUUGGAGACUUCAUAUUGGACUUUGUUUAGUCAUAUAGCUAUAUGGGGCAGCAUUGUGCUCUGGAUAGUAUUUUUUGGCGUCUAUUCUUCUUUGUGGCCAGUCAUUCCGAUGGCACCGGACAUGUCAGGGGAGGUAAUAUUUCUUUUAA